rnacentral:lncRNA from 1 species
UACUACUUUUUGAGUAUCGCAGAGGAUCCAUUUUUUUUAUUGGGAUAUUGAUGUGGAGAAAUGAAAGUAGAUGAAGUAGGCAGGAAGUGACUUGACCAACGUUUCUCCGUGACGAAGAAAGUGAUCUAUUCCCCGCGGAAGAAAGGACCGCUGCAGAAAAGGAGAUAAAUAGUGCAUAGCAUUGAUAAUACUGCACCUAUGAUGGCA